rnacentral:ncRNA from 2 species
GGUCAUGAGCGCCAGCGCGAAGCCCCGGCUUGCUGGCCGGCAACCCUCCAACCGCGGUGGGGUGCCCCGGGUGAUGACCAGGUUGAGUAGCCGCUGAACGGCUACCGGCAAGCGCGGGUC